rnacentral:rRNA from 1 species
AUUGAACGCUGGCGGCAUGCCUUACACAUGCAAGUCGAACGGUAACAGGUCUUCGGAUGCUGACGAGUGGCGAACGGGUGAGUAAUACAUCGGAACGUGCCCAGACGUGGGGGAUAACGAGGCGAAAGCUUUGCUAAUACCGCAUACGAUCUAAGGAUGAAAGCAGGGAACCGCAAGGCCUUGCGCGUUUGGAGCGGCCGAUGGCAGAUUAGGUAGUUGGUGGGAUAAAAGCUUACCAAGCCGACGAUCUGUAGCUGGUCUGAGAGGACGACCAGCCACACUGGGACUGAGACACGGCCCAGACUCCUACGGGAGGCAGCAGUGGGGAAUUUUGGACAAUGGGCGAAAGCCUGAUCCAGCAAUGCCGCGUGCAGGAUGAAGGCCUUCGGGUUGUAAACUGCUUUUGUACGGAACGAAAAGGCUCUGGCUAAUACCUGGGGCACAUGACGGUACCGUAAGAAUAAGCACCGGCUAACUACGUG